UACGGGGGGAGCAAGCGUUGUUCGGAUUUACUGGGCGUAAAGGGCGCGUAGGCGGUCAGCACAAGUCAGUUGUGAAAUCUCCGGGCUUAGCUCGGAAAGGUCAACUGAUACUGUGCGACUGGAGUGCAGAAGGGGCAACUGGAAUUCUCGGUGUAGCGGUGAAAUGCGUAGAUAUCGAGAGGAACACCUGCGGCGAAGACGGGUUGCUGGGCUGACACUGACGCUGAUGCGCGAAAGCCAGGGGAGCGAACGGG
rnacentral:rRNA from 1 species